UACGUAGGCAGCGAGCGUUGUUCGGAGUUACUGGGCGUAAAGGGCGCGUAGGCGGUCAGCACAAGUCAGUUGUGAAAUCUCCGGGCUUAACCCGGAAAGGUCAACUGAUACUGUGCGACUAGAGUGCGGAAGGGGCAACUGGAAUUCUCGGUGUAGCGGUGAAAUGCGUAGAUAUCGAGAGGAACACCUGCGGCGAAGGCGGGUUGCUGGGCCGACACUGACGCUGAUGCGCGAAAGCCAGGGGAGCGAACGGG
rnacentral:rRNA from 1 species